UAUGGGGCCGGGGCUCAUUACUAGAUCUACGAAACGACAGCGACCGACCGACGUAAUCACAGAACUCAACACGGCGAUAAACUCAAGUGUUGACGGAAAGCUGUCAACCUAUACCUCCUCAACCGAUAUGGGAAAGGGAGUUUCGAAACCAGAGGAAGAAUCCACUUUCAAGAAAGAUCAAGUUGAAAAGCUUGGGGUAUUCUCAAUCGGCGAAGCCUCGCAACACCUCAUGCUAAGAAGUCGAGAGCGGCCUUCGGCUUCAAUCAAAGACACAGCUCA
rnacentral:lncRNA from 1 species